AUACGUAGGUGGCAAGCGUUGUCCGGAUUUACUGGGCGUAAAGGGAGCGUAGGCGGACUUUUUAAGUGAGAUGUGAAAUACCCGGGCUUAACCUGGGUGCUGCAUUUCAAACUGGAAGUCUAGAGUGCAGGAGAGGAGAGUGGAAUUCCUAGUGUAGCGGUGAAAUGCGUAGAGAUUAGGAAGAACACCAGUAGCGAAGGCGACUCUCUGGACUGUAACUGACGCUGAGGCUCGAAAGCGUGGGGAGC
rnacentral:rRNA from 1 species